CCCCAUGUAUGGUGUUGCUUGUCAAUGUUAUGAUUCAACAAGUGAUUCUCCUCAAAUUUCAGCCAGCCCGUAUCAAUUAGACUUCACACUUUAUGCUUCGGGGUCAUACAAUGCUCAAUGGAAUGCCCCAGGGCUCCUCCAUGAUAAGCACACGUUGCGUUCGAGUCGUAUCCUCAGAAAAAUGGAGGUUGAGGAACCUUGGUUGGGGUUAUGGCUACCAUUGAAUUAUUGAGUGGAUAUGGGAUCAAGUUUAGCAUAUGACAACGGAAUUUGGGGUGAACCCUACAGGCUUUUUGCUGCAAAAUUCCUUUUU
rnacentral:lncRNA from 1 species